CCCUUUGGCCAUAUCAGUUUGCACCCAUUUGAUCUCAGUCUCUAAACAGUUCUGGGCUUGAGUAGUACUAGGUUGGGUGACCACCUGGGAAUCCUAGAUGCCAUAAGCA
ensembl:rRNA 5S_rRNA 5S ribosomal RNA